rnacentral:rRNA from 1 species
UCGAGCGAGCGGAACUACAGAUUUACUUCGGUAAUGGCGUUAGGAAAGCGAGCGGCGGAUGGGUGAGUAACACGUGGGGAACCUGCCCCAUAGUCUGGGAUACCACUUGGAAACAGGUGCUAAUACCGGAUAAGAAAGCAGAUCGCAUGAUCAGCUUUUAAAAGGCGGCGUAAGCUGUCGCUAUGGGAUGGCCCCGCGGUGCAUUAGCUAGUUGGUAAGGUAAAGGCUUACCAAGGCGAUGAUGCAUAGCCGAGUUGAGAGACUGAUCGGCCACAUUGGGACUGAGACACGGCCCAAACUCCUACGGGAGGCAGCAGUAGGGAAUCUUCCACAAUGGACGCAAGUCUGAUGGAGCAACGCCGCGUGAGUGAAGAAGGUUUUCGGAUCGUAAAGCUCUGUUGUUGGUGAAGAAGGAUAGAGGUAGUAACUGGCCUUUAUUUGACGGUAAUCAACCAGAAAGUCACGGCUAACUACGUGCCAGCAGCCGCGGUAAUACGUAGGUGGCAAGCGUUGUCCGAAUUUAUUGGGCGUAAAGCGAGCGCAGGCGGAAGAAUAAGUCUGAUGUGAAAGCCCUCGGCUUAACCGAGGAACUGCAUCGGAAACUGUUUUU